rnacentral:rRNA from 1 species
GAUGAACGCUGGCGGCGUGCCUAAUACAUGCAAGUCGAGCGAACAGACGAGGAGCUUGCUCCUUCGACGUUAGCGGCGGACGGGUGAGUAACACGUAGGUAACCUACCUAUAAGACUGGGAUAACUUCGGGAAACCGGAGCUAAUACCGGAUAAUAUUUCGAACCGCAUGGUUCGAUAGUGAAAGAUGGCUUUGCUAUCACUUAUAGAUGGACCUGCGCCGUAUUAGCUAGUUGGUAAGGUAACGGCUUACCAAGGCAACGAUACGUAGCCGACCUGAGAGGGUGAUCGGCCACACUAGAACUGAGACACGGUCCAGACUCCUACGGGAGGCAGCAGUAGGGAAUCUUCCGCAAUGAGCGAAAGCCUGACGGAGCAACGCCGCGUGAGUGAUGAAGGUCUUCGGAUCGUAAAACUCUGUUAUUAGGGAAGAACAAACGUGUAAGUAACUGUGCACGUCUUGACGGUACCUAAUCAGAAAGCCACGGCUAACUACGUG